rnacentral:rRNA from 1 species
AUUGAACGCUGGCGGCAGGCCUAACACAUGCAAGUCGAGCGGGGUUUUCGGACCUAGCGGCGGACGGGUGAGUAAUGCGUAGGAAGCUACCCGAUAGAGGGGGAUACCAGCUGGAAACGACUGUUAAUACCGCAUAAUGUCUACGGACCAAAGUGUGGGACCUUCGGGCCACAUGCUAUCGGAUGCGCCUACGUGGGAUUAGCUAGUUGGUGGGGUAAUGGCUCACCAAGGCGACGAUCCCUAGCUGGUUUGAGAGGAUGAUCAGCCACACUGGAACUGAGACACGGUCCAGACUCCUACGGGAGGCAGCAGAGGGGAAUAUUGGACAAUGGGCGCAAGCCUGAUCCAGCCAUGCCGCGUGUGUGAAGAAGGCCUUCGGGUUGUAAAGCACUUUCAGUAGGGAGGAAGGGUGUUGUGUUAAUAGCACAGCAUUUUGACGUUACCUACAGAAGAAGCACCGGCUAACUCUGUGCCAGCCGCCGCAGUAAAAC